UACGAACUGUGCAAACGUUAUUCGGAAUCACUGGGCUUAAAGGGUGCGUAGGCGGUCGCACAAGUCAGGUGUGAAAUCCCCCGGCUCAACCGGGGAACAGCGCUUGAAACUAGGUGACUAGAGUGAGGUAGGGGUACGCGGAACUUCUGGUGGAGCGGUGAAAUGUGUAGAUAUCAGAAGGAACGCCGGUGGCGAAAGCGGCGUACUGGGCCUUGUCUGACGCUGAGGCACGAAAGCUAGGGAAGUGAACGGG
rnacentral:rRNA from 1 species